rnacentral:rRNA from 1 species
GUGUCAGCCGCCGCGGUAAUACAGAGGGUGCGAGCGUUAAUCGGAAUUACUGGGCGUAAAGCGCACGUAGGCGGCUUGGCAUGUCGGGUGUGAAAUCCCCGGGCUCAACCUGGGAACUGCAUCCGAAACUGCCUUGCUAGAGUAUGGGAGAGGGAGGCGGAAUUUCCGGUGUAGCAGUGAAAUGCGUAGAUAUCGGAAGGAACAUCAGUGGCGAAGGCGGCCUCCUGGACCAAUACUGACGCUCAGGUGCGAAAGCGUGGGGAGCAAACAGGAUUAGAUACCCGCGUAGUCC